UGGCCUAGUUCUGUGUGGAAGACUAGUGAUUUUGUUGUUGUUAGAUAACAAAAUUGACAACAAAUCACAGUCUGCCAUAUGGCACAGACCA
rnacentral:pre_miRNA from 1 species